GACGAACGCUGGCGGCGUGCUUAACACAUGCACGUCGAACGGAAAGGCUCCAGCUUGCUGGAGUACUCGAGUGGCGAACGGGUGAGUAACACGUGGGUAAUCUGCCCUGCACUCUGGGAUAAGCCUGGGAAACUGGGUCUAAUACUGGAUAUGACCUUUCUCCUUAUGGGGUUUGGUGGAAAGUUUUUCGGUGUAGGAUGAGCCCGCGGCCUAUCAGCUUGUUGGUGGGGUGAUGGCCUACCAAGGCGACGACGGGUAGCCGGCCUGAGAGGGUGAUCGGCCACAUUGGGACUGAGAUACGGCCCAGACUCCUACGGGAGGCAGCAGUGGGGAAUAUUGCACAAUGGGCGGAAGCCUGAUGCAGCGACGCCGCGUGAGGGAUGACGGCCUUCGGGUUGUAAACCUCUUUCAGCAGGGACGAAGCGUAAGUGACGGUACCUGCAGAAGAAGCACCGGCUAACUAUGUG
rnacentral:rRNA from 1 species